ACUCAAAUGAAUAGACGGGGAGGCGCACAAGCAGUGGAGCGUGUUGUUUAAUUCGAUACAAAGCGAAAAACCUCACCUGGGUUUGACAUGUACUUGCUAAGCCUAUGAAAGUAGGCCUCCUUCGAGGGUAGUACACAGAUGCUGCAUGGCUGUCGUCAGCUCGUGGCGUGAGCUGUACCGUUAAGUCGGAAAACGAGCGCAACCCGCACCGUAUGUUAAAUAAUCCAUGCGGAACUGCCCGUCCUUUGGACGGGAGGAAGACGCGGAUGAUGUCAAGUCAGCACGGCUCUUACACCCAGGGCUACAAACACCCUACAAUGGCGAAAAACAACGAGUUGCAAGUUGGUAACAGCAAGCUAAUCUCUGAAAUUUCGCCCCAGUUCAGAUCGAGGGCUGCAAUUCGCCCUCGUGAAGUCGGAAUUGCUAGUAAUCGCGGAUCAGCAGGCCGCGGUGAAUACGUUCUCGCCUCUUGUACACACCGCCCGU
rnacentral:rRNA from 1 species